AUCAGCUGUUUUCUCGAAUACUUGGUCUUAUGAAAUCGCAUUGUCUAAUGGAAAUGUUAGUGGAUUCCUAGUAACAAUACCUUAUCGUAGAACAACAUUGUUUAUCAAGGCGAGUUAUGUCAGUUCAAUAUAAAAGAUUUCUUAAAGUUCUGGAGAAGUGGCCGACGGACAAAACAAAAGUGGGCAGAUCCUUUCCAGAAACUUCAACAAAAAAGAUGUCGGGUAGCGCCAAACUGAUUUCAGGCACCGAAGUGGCCAAUGAAAUUCGUGCGUCUUUAAAACGGCAAAUUGAAGAUGUAAAGGCUAAGCUUUCCAGUUUUACACCCGGCUUGCGAAUUUUACAAGUGGGUGGGCGUGAAGAUUCAAACGUUUACAUUCGCAUGAAGGUAAAGGCUGCAACAGAAAUUGGCAUUACCGUUGAACACAUAAAACUUCCAAGUACUGUGGCCGAAGUCGAUUUGCUGGAGAAGAUAACGGAACUGAACUUAGAUCCCAAUGUACAUGGCAUUAUAGUGCAAAUGCCUCUUGAUUCUGAGACUAAAAUUGAUUCUCAUAAGGUAACCGACGCCGUUUGUCCAGAUAAGGAUGUCGAUGGGCUACAUACCGUAAAUGAGGGACGUGUUUCUAUCGGAGAUUUAAAUGGAUAUCUACCAUGUACACCAUGGGGUUGUAUUGAAUUGAUUAAACGGACGGGUGUCCAAAUUGCAGGAGCACAAGCUGUUGUCCUAGGUAGAAGUAAAAUCGUUGGUACGCCUGUGUCACAGCUGUUAAAAUGGGAGAACGCCACAGUGACCGUUUGCCAUUCCAAAACUAAAAACCUGGAGCAAAUUUGCCGAAACGCCGACAUUCUAGUCGUUGCCAUUGGUGUGCCAGAAUUAGUAAAAGGAAGCUGGAUCAAACCAGGAGCUGUUGUUAUUGACUGUGGCAUUAAUGUUAAGCCAGAUUCUACCAAACAAGGAAACUCGCGGCUGGUCGGUGAUGUUCUUUUUGACGAAGCAAAACAAGUAGCUUCAUUUAUUACUCCAGUUCCUGGCGGCGUUGGACCAAUGACUGUAGCCAUGCUAAUGAAAAACACUGUUCGUUCGGCUUUGUCAGCUGCUGAAAAAUUAGUACAAACCACUUGGGAUUUGGCACCGCUUACUUUGGCUAAAGUUAGACCUGUACCAUCAGACAUCAUUAUUGCGAGAUCUCAAAAGCCCAAACAUAUCUCCAAUUUGGCCAAAGAGAUUGGGUUGAUAGGCAGGGAGAUUUCACUUUAUGGAGACAAAAAAGCAAAAAUAUCCUUGAGUACGGUAGACCGCUUGAAAAGUCGUUCUGAUGGUUCAUACAUAGUGGUAGCUGGUAUUACACCCACUCCCCUUGGAGAAGGUAAAAGUACAACACUGAUUGGGCUUGUUCAGGCACUUUGUGCCCAUAAAGGUCGUAAUGCAAUUGCUUGCAUGAGACAACCAUCACAAGGUCCCACUUUUGGAAUCAAGGGUGGAGCUGCUGGCGGUGGCUAUGCACAAGUCAUUCCAAUGGAUGAAUUUAAUUUGCAUUUAACGGGCGAUAUCCAUGCUGUUUCGGCAGCCAAUAACUUGCUUGCUGCCCAAUUGGAUACCCGUAUUUUCCAUGAAAAUACCCAAAAGGAUCAAUCGUUGUACGAUCGGCUGGUACCACGAAUUAAAGGUCACCGUAAAUUUUCGAAUAUUCAACUGCGCCGUUUACAGCGGUUGGGAAUUUCGAAAACCGAUCCUGAUUCAUUAACACCAGAAGAACAAAGCCGUUUUGCCCGUUUGGAUAUCGAUCCCGACACAAUAAUGUGGGAACGUGUCAUUGAUAUUAACGAUCGUUAUUUACGUGAAGUAACAAUUGGUCAAUCGCCCUCCGAGAAGAAUUUCACUCGUAAAACCUCAUUUGCCAUCUCAGUUGCUAGCGAAAUAAUGGCUGUGUUGGCACUUGCUACAGACAUGGAAGAUAUGAAACAGCGGCUAGCAAACAUGGUGGUGGCAUUCGAUCGCAAGGGUAGGCCUGUGACUGCCGAUGAUCUAGGUGUUACUGGUGCACUAACUGUUCUACUGAAGGAUGCUUUAGAUCCUACUUUAAUGCAAACUUUAGAAGGUACACCUGUUCUGGUACACACUGGUCCAUUUGCAAAUAUUGCGCAUGGAUGUUCCUCAAUAGUUGCUGAUAGAAUCGGCCUGAAAUUGGUGGGUAAAAAAGGUUUCGUUUGUACAGAAGCUGGUUUUGGUUCUGAUAUUGGCAUGGAAAAGUUCUGUAACGUCAAAUGUCGUUUCUCUGGUCUCAAACCAAAUGCAAUGGUGCUAGUAGCCACAGUUCGGGCUCUGAAAAUGCAUGGUGGUGGAGCUGCAGUCACCCCAGGAGCUCCGCUCAAUAAGCAAUAUACCGAAGAGAAUUUGGAAUUGCUUGAAAAAGGAUUACCUAACCUUCUUCAACACAUUUCCAAUGGUCAGAAAUUCGGUUUCCCAGUUAUAGUAGCCAUUAAUCGCCACACGUCCGACACGGAGGCGGAACACAAUCUCAUAAAGCAAGCUGCUUUAAAAGCCGGUGCAUUUGCAGCUGUCUUAUGUACGCAUUGGAGCGAUGGUGGUGAAGGUGCCUCCGAGCUUGCCGAUGCGGUGAUAAAGGCGUGUGAAAGUCCAAGUGGUUUUAAAUUAUUAUAUGAUAUUAAUUUACCUCUGGAGGAUAAAAUGAAUAUAAUUGCACAAAAUAUGUAUGGGGCAGCCAAAGUUGAGUUAACUCCAAAAGCUAUGGAUUCUUUGAAAAAACUGAAUGCUGCUGGUUUCGGUACCUUACCGGUCUGCAUGUCUAAAACUUCCGGCUCAUUAACUGGCGAUGCCGCCAUUAAGGGAGCGCCCAAAGGAUUUACUCUCACUGUUCAAGAUAUGUACGUCUCUGCAGGAGCUGGCUUCGUCGUUGCUAUGUGUGGAGAAAUCACUAAAAUGCCUGGUCUUUCAACUCGUCCUGCAAUAUACGACAUUGAUUUAAACACUGAAACUGGAGAAAUUGAAGGAUUGUUCUAAGGUUGAUCGCUUCUUAUGUACUAUAAAUUUUCAAUUAAAAGAAAUGCUAUCGUCGGCCGCACCAAAACUAUAUUACUCUUCACAGAAGCUUUUUAUAGCAUAAAAGGGAAUCAAGAUAUCUUGAUCUUCACUUGGAUCGAUCAGUAUGAAAUGCAGGGCUUGAGUUUGAUGGAUCAGUUAGUAUGACAGCUUUAUCUUAUAGUGGUCCGAUUUGGCGGUUCCGUCAAAUUAGCAGCUUCAUUGGGAGAAAAGGACGUAAGCAAAAUUAAAUUGAUAUUUUAAAAACUGAGGUUCUAGUUCGCGUAUAUAUAUAAACUGUUGUGUUACGUUACAACUGCACCAGCAUCUUCGAAUGUCAAUUACUAGUUUAUCCACCCAUUUGGACUCAGAAGAAUUAUUUCCAACGUCAACCUCAAACAUGGUGAAACCAUCAAUAAUAAAUACUGCCGUGAAUUGUUUGAUAGAUUUCGAUUUGUGAUCAAAAUUAAGGCAGAUUGUAGGAUAAAGACUUCAGCCCAGAUACAUGUACAAAUUUAACAGUAGUCAAGCAAUUGGUUCGUGAGAAUGACAUUUUUAAUGGCGGAAAGUUAAACAUUUUUUUAAAAAGUAUGUGAUGUUAAUGAAGAACUAAUAUAUUGCUGAAUAAUAAAGCCAAACUAUUAUUCGAAUGGUAUUGUUCGAACUCUCUGUCAAGCGAGGAAACCAUUCGUAAGUGAUUUGCUAAAUUCCGGAAUAUAUGAGAACCGAAGGCGAUGAACCCACUGCUAAAGAAGAUACAAGAGGAAAAAUAAAGAAGAUAAUAGAGGAAAGUGAUACUCAUGAGGCCUCAA
rnacentral:misc_RNA from 1 species